rnacentral:siRNA from 1 species
CUGUCCUCAGUGUUUGAUGUAGG